AAUCUUAAGGAUUCCCCUCCAAAAACUCCUUAUCUUUACCUGUUAUGGUUACUUCUGGAGUAUUACAGUGUAGCCAUCUGGGCCCCCUACUUUUGACAUUCUUUUUUAAAGACCUGCUUUCUGUAUUAACAAACUCUCAAGUACUUAUGUGUGCGGAUGAUGCUAAGCUUUGUGGCCAGUAUACGGGAAUUUCAUUUAACUUUCGCUUGCAAUCAGAUUUCAAUAACUUUCAUUAAUGGACUUGUGCAAAUAUGUUAACCUUAAUGCCUAUAAAUGCAAAGAAGUGACAUUUCAUCGCUCCAGCACCUUACUGGCUCCUUACACCCUCUGCGAGGAGCACUUGUCCGCUUUUAAAACUUAUUUAACGACUAAAAAGCAUACCGAAUCGGUUCGUGAAGGUAGGGUAUCUUAACGGGGCCGCUUCGAUUAUGAAGGAUUUCAGAAUUUUUAAUGGUUCGCUCUGCAAUUUUGUACUGUCAAUAUUAAAGGCACAACUACUUUUUACACACUUUUUGAUUCGUUUGUCCCUGAUAAAACAAUGAUCAGACAAUUGCCUAUCUUUUUGCCACAGUUUUCCAAGCAAUUCAUUCAGCAAUUCAACCAGCUAUGGUCAUCCUUAUCCAUACAGUUUACCAAAGUUGCCAUCUAGCAGGAAUUUUGUAUAUUUCCUCUCCAUAUAAAAAGGGAGUCUGACGAAGAGAACAAUAAAGGUAAAUCAAAAUAUCCGCUAUUCCCAAAAUGAUUGAGAAAAUGUUAACUCGGCACUUACAAUAUCUCUGCAAAUCACUUGUCUCUAGCUUAGCACAGAUUUAUACAACCACAAAUCUUUUACAGUUCGAGGAGUAGUUCAUUAAAGGUUUCCAAGGUAACUACUAGACGGAUGUUAUGUACACUAAUUUCAGUAAAGCAUUCGACUCUAUGCACCACUCACCUAUAGCACCUAAGCUUGACCUUCUAGAGAUUCCACCUAAUCUUUUGAGAUGGAUUUCUAGCUACCUUUGUUCUAGGUCUCAAAGAAUCCUCUUCAAAAACUCCUUAUCUUUACCUGCUGUGGUUACUUAUGGAGCACCACAGUGCCAACUGGGCCCCCUACUUUUCAUACUCUUUAUUGAUGUCGAUCAGCCGUUUAAAUCUGCACUAAAGAGUUCGAUAACUGGUCUUCUCACUGAGGCAGGUAGAAGGUUCCGAGGUGCCCCUUACAGACCCUAAAACGUUUUGAAGCUUUUUAAAAGUAAGCGAAAAACGUCCGCACAUCCCUCCUUGCUAUCAUUUCUAAAUACGUCGGUAAACAAUGAUCAGGCAAUUGCCGAUCUUUUUGCACAAUUAUUUCAAACACAACAAACACCACAGUGCCAACUGGGCCCCCUACUUUUCAUACUCUUUAUUGAUGUCGAUCAGCCGUUUACAUCUGCACUAAAGAGUGCGAUAACUGGUCUUCUCACUGAAGCUGGUAGAAGGUUCCAAGGUGCCCCUUACAGACCCUAAAGAGUUUUGAAGCUUUUUAAAAGUAAGCGUAGAACGUCCGCACAUCCCUCCUUGCUAUCUUUUCUAAAUACGUCGGUAAACAAUGAUCAGGCAAUUGCCGAUCUUUUUGCACAAUUAUUUCAAACACAACACACCACAGUGCCAACUGGGCCCCCAACUUUUCAUACUCUUUAUUGAUGUCGAUCAGCCGUUUACAUCUGCACUAAAGAGUGCGAUAACUGGUCUUCUCACUGAAGCUGGUAGAAGGUUCCGAGGUGCCCCUUACAGACCCUAAACAGUUUUGAAGCUUUUUAAAAGUAAGCGUAGAACGUCCGUACAUCCCUCCUUGCUAUCAUUUCUAAAUACGUCAGCAAACAAUGAUCAGGCAAUUGCCGAUCUUUUUGCACAAUUAUUUCAAACAACUUAUCUUGAUUCCCAAGAAAGCCACCCUGGUCAUGUGUGUCCAUACAGUUUAACAACGUCGAACGGCAUUUUCAGCAGUUUGUUAAAUCAAAGCUCCCAGCUUAAUGACCUUCGAUUAGUUAAGUCGGUAUUUUUAUUGGGACCUGACGGAGUUCCCGGCUGUGUAAUGAGCCGAGUCUUUGUGUGGACCCUUGGCCA
rnacentral:lncRNA from 1 species